rnacentral:piRNA from 1 species
UAGUGAUUUUAUUUACCUGUUUUACCU